rnacentral:rRNA from 1 species
GACGAACGCUGGCGGCGUGCUUAACACAUGCAAGUCGAACGGAAAGGCCCUGCUUUUGUGGGGUGCUCGAGUGGCGAACGGGUGAGUAACACGUGAGUAACCUGCCCUUGACUUUGGGAUAACUUCAGGAAACUGGGGCUAAUACCGGAUAGGAGCUCCUGCUGCAUGGUGGGGGUUGGAAAGUUUCGGCGGUUGGGGAUGGACUCGCGGCUUAUCAGCUUGUUGGUGGGGUAGUGGCUUACCAAGGCUUUGACGGGUAGCCGGCCUGAGAGGGUGACCGGCCACAUUGGGUCUGAGAUACGGCCCAGACUCCUACGGGAGGCAGCAGUGGGGAAUAUUGCACAAUGGGCGGAAGCCUGAUGCAGCAACGCCGCGUGCGGGAUGACGGCCUUCGGGUUGUAAACCGCUUUCGCCUGUGACGAAGCGUGAGUGACGGUAAUGGGUAAUGAAGCACCGGCUAACUACGUG